CGUCUAUAUACGUAUAGCAUAUCAAUAAGCGGAGGAAAAGAAACUAACUAGGAUUCCCUCAGUAACGGCGAGUGAAGCGGGAAGAGCUCAAAUUUGAAAUCUUCAAGGUUCUACCUUGACGAAUUGUAGUUUAAAGAAGUGUUUUCUGUUGGAGCUUUGGUAAAAGUUCUUUGGAAUAGGACAUCAUAGAGGGUGAGAAUCCCGUAUUUGACCAUUAUUUCCAACUUUGUGAUACACUUUCAAAGAGUCGGAUUGUUUGGGAAUGCAGUCCAAAAUGGGUGGUAAAUUUCAUCUAAAGCUAAAUACUGGCGAGAGACCGAUAGCGAACAAGUACCGUGAGGGAAAGAUGAAAAGAACUUUGAAAAGAGAGUUAAACAGUACGUGAAAUUGUCAAAAGGGAAGCGUUUGACACCAGUGUUGUUUUCUCGAAAAUCAAUUAAAAAUGAUUGGGAUUUUGUGUUGUAUUGACUUUAUCAGCUUUCUGCACUCUUUUCCUGUCUUUUUUAAUGCACUUUUCGUUUAACAAGUCAACAUCAAUUUCUUUUGUUGUAAAAGGGUCAUUGGAAGGUGGCUUUCUUUUCGGAGAAAGUGUUUAUAGCCUUUGGCUUCUGCAAUCGGAGAGAUUGAGGUCUGCAGCGUAGAUCCUUCGGGGUUAGAUACAUUUGUGCUAAGUUAUAGCCUUUCAUAGACAACUUGUUGACUAUGAUCAGUCAUGUAGCUUACUCGCUUAUGUUAUUUUACCUACGCUUAGGAUGUUGACGAUCAGCUGAGCGCG
rnacentral:rRNA from 1 species